AUUACUUUCAACAGCAGAAUAAGAAUACGAACUUUCUAAUAAGUGACACAGGCCUAGCCUAUCACAAAUAUAGCUGGUUAUUUUUUCAUUAUUGACAUUUUAAUCUGUCUGCUUGUCCAUUCGGGCAAGUAAAAUUCUCUUUCAAUUGCCCCUUCAAAAAUUCACUUGUCCCGGACAAAUGUUAAUGUCGAGCCCUGAUUAAAUAUUGUAUUCAACAUUCUCCGAUAACAAAUGUAUUUUCUGCAUUAUAGCUCCUAAAGUAAAUGUACGUUGUUUUAUAGGAGUUUUAGAUAUUAUUUUAAAAAAGCAAGCCAAAAAAGACUAAUCAAAAACGUAUUUUGUUCCAGUGUAUAAUGGGCUCUCACCUUUAUGCUCACUUCGAUCCAUCUUAAAAAAAAAAAAAAAAAACGUUCUCUUCUUAAUAGAGCUGCGUAUCGCCGAUUUUCUUCAUAAUACAUAUACUAUGAUUCACUACGUCGCAAGCCAUCACGUUAUAAUCUAUCUGACGCAACAAUAUUAAGUGAAUGUAACACUACUGACUAUUAACACUAGUGUAAUUGGAGUAUGAUACUGUAAAUAGGGUAUAGUAAAGUAUUGUAUAGUACAGUAUAGUAUAUAGUGAGCAACAAUUAAGCAAUUUGAGGUGAAUCUGACACAACGAUAUUAAGUGACUGUAACACUACUGACUAUUUACACUAGUGUAAUUAGAGUAUGAUACUGUAAAUAGGGUAUAGUAAAGUACAGUAUAGUAAAGUAUAGUAUAGUAUACAGUGAGCAAUAAUGAAGAAAUUUUAAGUGAAUCUGAUGCAACAACAUUAAGUGAUGUAACACUACUGACUAUUAACACUAGUGUAAUUGGAUUAUGACACUGUAAAUAGGGUAAAGUAUAGUAUAGUACAGUAUAUUAUAUAGUGAGCAAUUAUGAAGCAAUUUGAGAUGAAUCUGAUGCAACGAUAUUAAGUGAACGUAACGCUACUGACUAUUAACACUAGUGUAAUUGGAGUAUGAUACUGUAAAUAGGGUAUAGUAAAGUGCAGUAUAGUAAAGUAUAGUUUAGUAUAUAGUGAGCAAUAAUGAAGAAAUCUUAAGUGAAUCUGAUGCAACAACAUUAAGUGAUGUAACACUACUGACUAUUAACACUGGUGUAAUUGGAUUAUGACACUGUAAAUAGGGUAAAGUAUAGUAUAGUAUAGUAUAGUAUAUAGUGAGCAAUUAUGAAGCAAUUUGAGAUGAAUCUGAUGCAACGAUAUUAAUUGAACGUAACGCUACUGACUAUUAACACUAGUGUAAUUGGAGUAUGAUACUGUAAAUAGGGUAUAGUAAAGUGCAGUAUAGUAAAGUAUAGUUUAGUAUAUAGUGAGCAAUAAUGAAGAAAUCUUAAGUGAAUCUGAUGCAACAACAUUAAGUGAUGUAAUACUACUGACUAUUAACACUAGUGUAAUUGGAUUAUGACACUGUAAAUAGGGUAUAGUAAAGUAUAGUACAGUAUAAUAUAUAGUGAGCAAUAAUGAAGCAAUCUGAGGUGAAUCUGAUGCAACAAUAUUAAGUGAAUGUAAUACUACUGAAUAAUUAACACUAGUGUAAUUGAGUAUGAUACUGUAAAUAGGGUUUAGUAAAGUACAGUAUAGUAAGUAUAUAGUGAGCAAUAAUUAAGCAAUCUAAGGUGAAUCUGAUGCAACAACAUUAAGUGAUGUAACACUACUGACUAUUAACACUAGUGUAAUUGGAUUAUGACACUGUAAAUAGGGUAUAUUAAAGUAUAGUAUAGUGCAGUAUAGUAAGUAUAUAGUGAGCAAUAAUGAAGCAAUUUGAGGUGAAUCUGAUGCAACAACAUUAAGUGAUGUAACACUACUGACUAUUAACACUAGUGUAAUUGGAUUAUGACACUAUAAAUAGGGUAUAUUAAAGUAUAGUAUAGUGCAGUAUAGUAAGUAUAUAGUGAGAAAUAAUGAAGCAAUUUGAGGUGAAUCUGAUGCAACAACAUUAAGUGAUGUAAUACUACUGACUAUUAACACUAGUGUAAUUGGAGUAUGACACUGUAAACAGGGUUUAGUAAAGUAUAGUAUAGUAUAUAGUGAGCAAUAAUGAAGCAAUUUGAGGUGAAUCUGAUGCAACAACAUUAAGUGAUGUAACACUACUGACUAUUAACACUAGUGUAAUUGGAGUAUGACACUGUAAACAGGGUUUAGUAAAGUAUAGUAUAGUAUAUAGUGAGCAAUAAUGAAGCAAUUUGAGGUGAAUCUGAUGCAACAACAUUAAGUGAUGUAACACUACUGACUAUUAACACUAGUGUAAUUGGAUUAUGACACUGUAAAUAGGGUAUAUUAAAGUAUAGUAUAGUGCAGUAUAGUAAGUAUAUAGUGAGCAAUAAUGAAGCAAUUUGAGGUGAAUCUGAUGCAACAACAUUAAGUGAUGUAACACUACUGACUAUUAACACUAGUGUAAUUGGAUUAUGACACUGUAAAUAGGGUAUAUUAAAGUAUAGUAUAGUGCAGUAUAGUAAGUAUAUAGUGAGCAAUAAUGAAGCAAUUUGAGGUGAAUCUGAUGCAACAACAUUAAGUGAUGUAAUACUACUGACUAUUAACACUAGUGUAAUUGGAGUAUGACACUGUAAACAGGGUUUAGUAAAGUAUAGUAUAGUAUAUAGUGAGCAAUAAUGAAGCAAUUUGAGGUGAAUCUGAUGCAACGAUAUUAAGUGAAUGUAAUAUACUGAAUAAUUAACACUAGUGUAAUUGGAGUAUGAUACUGUAAAUAAGGUUUAGUAUAGUAUAUUACAGUUUAUAGUGAGCAAUAAUGAAAAAAUCUGAGGUGAAUCUAAUGCAACAACAUUAAGUGAAUGUAACACUACUAACUAUUAACACUAGUGUAAUUGGAGUAUGAUACUGUAAAUAGGGUAUAGUACAGUACAGUAUAGUAUAGAGUGAGUCUUAAUGGAGCAGUGUGAGGUGAAUCUGACGCAACCAUCUUUAGACAUAAUGUGGAUGUAACACUAGUAAUCUUAUACUAGUACUACUAUUGGAGUAUGGUACUGUAUAUAGAGUAAUAAUGUGAGUAAUAAUUGUGUGCGGUGAAUUUGACGCAACCCUACAGAUAGUAUGUGAAUGUAACACUUCCGGCGUACAGUGAAAUAUUGCAAUAGUGUUAUUGGAGUAUACGAUAUAAUGUAAAUAGUGUAUAAUAUAGUACAGUAUAGUACUGUAUAGUAUAGUAAAUAGAUAGACAUCAUAUGAAUGUAACACUUCAAUUAAAUGUUACAGUAGUACAAGUACAACGAUUAGAGUAUGAUACUGUAUAAAGAGAAAUCAUGUGAGUAAUAAUAGUGUGAGGUGAAUCUGACGCAACCCUCUACAGAUAUGAUGCAUCAUCAUCAUCAUCAUCAUCAUCAUCUCCAUCAUUAA